rnacentral:rRNA from 1 species
AUACGGAGGGUGCAAGCGUUACUCGGAAUCACUGGGCGUAAAGCGCGCGCAGGCGGCUAUUUAAGUUGGAUGUGAAAGCCUAUGGCUCAACCAUAGAACUGCAUCCAAAACUAUUUAGCUAGAGUGUGGGAGAGGAAGAUGGAAUUAGUUGUGUAGGGGUAAAAUCCGUAGAGAUAACUAGGAAUACCAAAAGCGAAGGCAAUCUUCUGGAACACUACUGACGCUGAGGCGCGAAAGUGUGGGGAGCAAACAGGAUUAGAUACCCUAGUAGUCC